UGCCAGCAGCCGCGGUAAUACAUAGGGGUCAAGCGUUGUCCGGAAUUACUGGGCGUAAAGCGUACGUGGGCGGAUCAGAAAGUAGGGGGUGAAAUCCCAGGGCUUAACCCUGGAACUGCCUCCUAAACUCCUGGUCUUGAGUUCGAGAGAGGUGAGUGGAAUUCCAAGUGUAGAGGUGAAAUUCGUAGAUAUUUGGAGGAACACCAGUGGCGAAGGCGGCUCACUGGCUCGAUACUGACGCUGAGGUACGAAAGUGUGGGGAGCAAACAGGAUUAGAUA
rnacentral:rRNA from 1 species